rnacentral:rRNA from 1 species
UCGAACGGUUAAGCCGGCUUCGGCCGGGAAUACAGUGGCGAACGGGUGAGUAACACGUGACCAACCUGCCCCCCGCUCCGGGACAACCGCUGGAAACGGCGGCUAAUACCGGGUACUCCGCGGGCCCCGCAUGGGGCCGGCGGGAAAGCCCAGGCGGCGGGGGAUGGGGUCGCGGCCCAUUAGGUAGUAGGCGGGGUAGAGGCCCACCUAGCCGACGAUGGGUAGCCGGACUGAGAGGUCGACCGGCCACAUUGGGACUGAGAUACGGCCCAGACUCCUACGGAAGGCAGCAG